CAGCUGGGGACAACCCGCAGCCGGACCUCUUGCGUCCGGCCCACAGACUAAAUGUUGAUGGGUCCGCGCCCCCAUGCGGAUUUUCGAUAUAGUCGGUCGUCGGGGCAUACACCCCCCUCGAGCAAACGUUCCGUAGGUGAACCUGCGGAAGGAUCAUUA
rnacentral:rRNA from 1 species